rnacentral:ribozyme from 13 species
CAGAAGUGCCCGCACUUUAAGACAUCAAAGAAAGCGAAAAGUAAAGAUUAUUAUUAUUGUUAUUAUUAUUGUUAUUAUUAUUAUUAAAAGAAAUAGUGAGACAUGUUUCUAUAACAGGUAUAACUUGGUGU